UGUUGGGCUGGCCGACUGAGGUAUGCACUGUCUUUUAUUUUGAAGAAUCUACUAUUUAUCUGAUGGUUGAGAAGGUGGCUGUACUGACGUAUAAAGAGCCCAGCAUUUGAAUGUUUUAAGACCUGACUUUUAAUCUUAUGACCAUCACUUCCUGACUUUGAGAUCUCAGGACUUCUGUGCUGUAAUUCGUACUUAAAAAUGUGGAUGGUAAAACUCUCCACUGAACUGCUAUGGGGACAAAACAAGAUGGUAGCUAUUUGUAGAUUUCAAAAUUGCUAUGAAAAUUAUUUGUUAAUAUGAUUGGACAUUGUAAUCAUGUGGCAAAUGUUUGUUUCCCCAUUGGCUACUUAUGUAGGGUUUAUUUAAAAUUAGGCAAAACUAAGAAUAUGUUUCCUAAGAACACAUUCUGGCCACACCUUUUAUAUCAAUCUCUCUUCAAAUGUGAUCCCUGAACUCUUCUUUAAUUUCCCACUUCAAUAGUCCGUCUUACAAUUUUUUUAACCUAGGUUUUCCGUAGUAAAAGUGCAGCUUUCAGAGUUCGACUUAGGGUCAAAUCCCAACUUCUGCUUCUUUUAACUGCAUGCUCUUUGACUUUUAACCUGAGAACAAUGACUUGUACAUUCACGUUCCAUUUCGUCGUCAAAAAAUUGGGGAUAAUAAUAGAUCAUAUCUUAGAGAGUUGUUGUGAUGAUGAUAUAAAAUAAUAACUAUAAAGUGGCAUCAAGAUACCUAGGCCCAGAGACCAGCUAUGAAGAUGCCAUUGGCGGUGAUGGCAAAAAGCGCCUUUAGUUUCAAAAAGUUGCUGGAUCAGUGAGACAACCAGGAGUUCGAGGCCCCUGGAGGAAUUGCUACACCCCCAGUGUAUGGUCAGCUUCUAGCUUUAUAUUUGCUCCAUAAUGACACGAAUAAUGCAAGAUAUCUUUGGAAAAGAAUACCACCUGCUAUAAAAUCUGCAAAUUCUGAACUUGGGGGAAUUUGGUCAGUAGGACAAAGAAUCUGGCAGAGAGAUUUCCCUGGGAUCUAUACAACCAUCAACACUCACCAGUGGUCUGAGACGGUCCAGCCAAUUAUGGAAGCACUUACAGAUGCAACAAUGAGACAUGCCUUUGCCCUGGUCUCUCAAGCGUAUACUUCAAUCAUCGCCAAUGAUUUUGCAGCCUUUGUUGGGCUUCCUGUAGAAGAGGCUGUGAAAGGCAUAUUAGAACAAGGAUGACAAGCUGAUUCCACCACAAGAAUGGUUCUGCCCAGAAAGCCGGUUGCAGGGGCCCUGGAUGUUUCCUCUAACAAGUUUAUUCCCUUAUCAGAGCCUGCUCCAGUUCCCCCAAUACCCAAUGAACAGCAGUUAGCCAGACUGACAGAUUAUGUGGCUUUCCUUGAAAACUGAUUUAUCACUCUGAGUUCAAGAUUCAUCUUCAGAAUCCUGUAUACUGACAAAUAUAGAAAUGUAAACUUUGUAUUUUCAAUUUAUUGGAUGGCUUAAGCA